GAUGAACGCUGGCGGCGUGCCUAAUACAUGCAAGUCGAGCGAACAGACGAGGAGCUUGCUCCUCUGACGUUAGCGGCGGACGGGUGAGUAACACGUGGAUAACCCACCUAUCAGACUGGUAUAACUUCGGGACACCGGAGCUAAUCCCGGAUAAUAUAUUGCACCGCAUGGGUCAAUAGUGAGAGACGGGUUUGCUGUCACUUAUAGCUGGAUCCGCGCCGCAUUAGCUGGUUGGUAAGGUAACGGCUUUCCAAGGGAACGAUGCGUAGCCGACGUGACAGGGGGGUCGGCCACACGAGAGCGGAGCCGCGGUCCUGACUCCUGCGAGAGGCCGCAGUAGGGAAUCUGACGCAGUGGGCGAAAGCCUGACGGAGCAACGCCGCGUGUGUGAUAAAGGUCUUCGGAUCGUAAAACCCUGUUAUUAGGGAAGAACAAAUGUGUAAGUAACUAUGCACGUCUUGACGGUACCUAAUCAGAAAGCCACGGCUAACUACGUG
rnacentral:rRNA from 1 species